GCAUAAGCCAGCUUGACUGCGAGCGUGACGGCGCGAGCAGGUGCGAAAGCAGGUCAUAGUGAUCCGGUGGUUCUGAAUGGAAGGGCCAUCGCUCAACGGAUAAAAGGUACUCCGGGGAUAACAGGCUGAUACCGCCCAAGAGUUCAUAUCGACGGCGGUGUUUGGCACCUCGAUGUCGGCUCAUCACAUCCUGGGGCUGAAGUAGGUCCCAAGGGUAUGGCUGUUCGCCAUUUAAAGUGGUACGCGAGCUGGGUUUAGAACGUCGUGAGACAGUUCGGUCCCUAUCUGCCGUGGGCGCUGGAGAACUGAGGGGGGCUGCUCCUAGUACGAGAGGACCGGAGUGGACGCAUCACUGGUGUUCGGGUUGUCAUGCCAAUGGCACUGCCCGGUAGCUAAAUGCGGAAGAGAUAAGUGCUGAAAGCAUCUAAGCACGAAACUUGCCCC
rnacentral:rRNA from 1 species